rnacentral:snRNA from 1 species
AUAGCUUCUCAGCCUUCUGGCUAAGAUCAAGUGUAGUUCUGUUUUUAUAAGUUUAAUAUCUGGAAUGUCUUCUAUCCAAAGACAAUUUUGUUUGUUUUGUUUUGUUUUUGAGAUGGAGUUUCGGCUACACUCCAGCCUAGGCAAUAGAGGGUGACCUCGUCUCAAAAAAA